GACGAACGCUGGCGGCGUGCUUAACACAUGCAAGUCGAACGGAAAGGCCUGCUUUCCCCUGUGGAUUGCGGGUACUCGAGUGGCGAACGGGUGAGUAACACGUGAGUGAUCUGCCCCCAACUUGGGUAUAAGCCUGGGAAACUGGGUCUAAUUUCCGAUAGGACUGCAGGGUGGUGCCUGUGGUGGAAAACGAUUUUCUAGUGGUUGGGGAUGAGCUCGCGGCCUAUCAGCUUGUUGGUGGGGUAAUGGCCUACCAAGGCGGCGACGGGUAGCCGGCCUGAGAGGGUGGACGGCCACAUUGGGACUGGGAUACGGCCCAGACUCCUACGGGAGGCAGCAGUGGGGAAUAUUGCACAAUGGGCGGAAGCCUGAUGCAGCGACGCCGCGUGGGGGAUGACGGCCUUCGGGUUGUAAACUCCUUUCGACCGCGAGGAAGCCACCUGGUUGGAAGGGUGGUGACGGUAGUGGUAGAAGAAGCACCGGCUAACUACGUG
rnacentral:rRNA from 1 species